GAUUGCAGGCUGCAACCCGCCUGCAUGAAGUUGGAAUCACUAGUAAUCGCGGAUCAGCAUGCCGCGGUGAAUGCGUUCUCGGGCCUUGUACACACCGCCCGUCACACCAUGAGAGUCGGGAACACCCGAAGUCCGUAGCCUAACCGCAAGGGGGGCGCGGCCGAAGGUGGGCUCGAUAAUUGGGGUGAAGUCGUAACAAGGUACC
rnacentral:rRNA from 1 species